rnacentral:rRNA from 1 species
UCCUACGGGAGGCAGCAGUCGAGAAUUUUUCUCAAUGGGGGAAACCCUGAAGGAGCGACGCCGCGUGGAGGAUGAAGGUCUUCGGGUUGUAAACUCCUGUCAUUUGGGAACAAGUGCCGGUACGUAACUGCUAUCGGCUUGAUAGUACCAGAAGAGGAAGAGACGGCUAACUCUGUGCCAGCAGCCGCGGUA